AUGAAACACCGAUACACGUACGGUCACUGAAGUUAAGCAACGUCGAACCUGAUCAGUACCUAGAUGGGUGACCGCUUGGGAAUACCAGGUGCUGUAAG